AACUAGAUAAACUAUAGGUAGAAUAAGAGGGAGACUCUCUGGAUCUGCGAACGCGGCAUAUGCAUACCUCAAGUCUCCGAGUAUAGCUACUGGAUCACUGAUAGUGCGCUUGACUAGAAGUACCUGGAUCUGCACAUGAAAAACAUGCGUAGAAGAGGCAUGAGUACACCACAGCGGUACCCAGUAAGUGCCAAGCCAAACCUCAGUUGAUUAGUGAUGAGGAAGGUCAGGGCCCUACUAAGAAUAAACAUAACAACAAUAAUGAACAGUGUAAGGGAGAAAAAAAUCAGGAAAAAAGCAACGAUAAAAUAGGAUAGAAG
rnacentral:lncRNA from 1 species